UACCCGACGGUGGGGAAUAACUGCCCGAAAGNCCUUUUNAAAACCGCAUACGUCCAUUGGAGUAGUCCAGUGGGGAAAACCGCAAGGUGCCGAUGGAGCGGCCCGCGUUCNAUUAGCUAGUUGGUGGUGUAACGGCCUACCAAGGCGACGAUCGAUAGCUGGUCUCAGAGGAUGAUCAGCCAGACUGGGACUGAGAGACGGCCCAGACUCCUACGGGAGGCAGCNGUUAGGAAUUUUGGGCAAUGGGCGCAAGCCUGACCCAGCAACGCCGCGUGGGUGACGAAGGCCUUCGGGUUGUAAAGCCCUUUUCUGAGGGAAGAUGAUGACGGUACCUCANGAAGAAGNACCGGCUAACUACGUGCCAGCAGCCGCGGUAAUACGUACGGUGCGAGCGUUGCCCGGAUUUAUUGGGCCGUAAAGGGCGCGUANGCGGUCACGCNCGUCCNUUGUGAAAUCGCCUUCG
rnacentral:rRNA from 1 species